rnacentral:rRNA from 1 species
GACGAACGCUGGCGGCGUGCUUAACACAUGCAAGUCGAACGCGCCUGUCCUCUGGGGUUCUGGGGGGUGGUUGAGUGUCGAACGGGUGAGUAACACGUGAGUAACCUGCCCCCUUCUUCGGUAUAACGGUCUGAAAGGGCUUCUAAUACCGGGUAUUCACUGGUCUCCGCAUGGGGUCUGGUUGAAAGGUUUUUUUCUGGUGGGGGAUGGGCUCGCGGCCUAUCAGCUUGUUGGUGGGGUGAUGGCCCACCAAGGCUUUGACGGGUAGCCGGCCUGAGACGGUGACCGGUCAGAUUGGGACUGAGAUACGGCCGAGACUGAUACGGGAGGCAGAAGUGGGGAAGAUUGAACAAUGGGGGCAAGCCUGCUGCAGCGACGAGGCGUGAGGGAUGGAGGCCUUCGGGUUGUGAACCUCUUUGGGCCGUGGUCAAGCCGCGCCGGGGGUCGUGGUGAGGGUAGUGGGUAAAGAAGCGCCGGCUAACUACGUG